rnacentral:misc_RNA from 1 species
AGUGAACCUGCGGAAGGAUCAUUAACACGUAUCCAAACGUUAAACCGCAUGGACAAGCCCAGUAAAUCAAGCCCCGGAAAGUUUUUGAUUUGGGACCUCUGUGCGCGUGAGAAAAACUGACAGCGAUUCAUAGAAGGGUAGGUCAAGUGACACGGCGUCCCCAAGUGACCAGUGAAUGAAAGUGUCGCUCUUCAAGAUUGCUAGAGGUCGACCACCGACCGGCUUCCGUGUAUACCGAGCUAACACCGCUCCCUUCCGAACCCCACUUUAUUGCCUUGCCUGUAAGCAUCCAUACGGAUGGGCAGGCCCCCCGAACAACUGUUAACAAUGGAUAUCUUGGUUCUC